CCUACGGGAGGCAGCAGUGAGGAAUAUUGGUCAAUGGCCGUAAGGCUGAACCAGCCAAGUCGCGUGAAGGAUGAAGGAUCUAUGGUUUGUAACCUUCUUUUAUAGGGGAAUAAAGGUAUCUAUGUAUGGAUUUUUGCAUGUACCCUAUGAAUAAGCAUCGGCUAACUCCGUGCCAGCAGCCGCGGUAAUACGGAGGAUGCGAGCGUUAUCCGGAUUUAUUGGGGUUAACGGGAGCGUAGGUUGUUUUUUAAGUCAGCGGUGAAAGUUUGUGGCUCAACCAUAAAAUUGCCGUUGAAACUGGAAGUCUUGAGUGUGUGUGAGGUAGGCGGAAUGCGUGGUGUAGCGGUGAAAUGCAUAGAGAUCACGAAGAACUCCGAUUGCGAAGGCAGCCUGCUAAGCCAUAACUGACACUGAAGCGCGAAAGCGUGGGGAUCAAACAGGAUUAGAUACCCCUGUAGUC
rnacentral:rRNA from 1 species